GACGUAGGGUGCGAGCGUUGUCCGGAUUUAUUGGGCGUAAAGAGCUCGUAGGUGGCUUGUCGCGUCUGCCGUGAAAGCCCGUGGCUUAACUACGGGUCUGCGGUGGAUACGGGCAGGCUAGAGGCUGGUAGGGGCAAGCGGAAUUCCUGGUGUAGCGGUGAAAUGCGCAGAUAUCAGGAGGAACACCGGUGGCGAAGGCGGCUUGCUGGGCCAGUUCUGACGCUGAGGAGCGAAAGCGUGGGGAGCGAACAGG
rnacentral:rRNA from 1 species